rnacentral:rRNA from 1 species
GAUGAACGCUGGCGGCGUGCCUAAUACAUGCAAGUCGAGCGAACAGACGAGGAGCUUGCUCCUCUGACGUUAGCGGCGGACGGGUGAGUAACACGUGGAUAACCUACCUAUAAGACUGGGAUAACUUCGGGAAACCGGAGCUAAUACCGGAUAAUAUAUUGAACCGCAUGGUUCAAUAGUGAAAGACGGUUUUGCUGUCACUUAUAGAUGGUUCCGCGCCGCAUUAGCUAGUUGGUAAGGUAACGGCUUACCAAGGCAACGAUGCGUAGCCGACCUGAGAGGGUGAUCGGCCACACUGGAACUGAGACACGGUCCAGACUCCUACGGGAGGCAGCAGUAGGGAAUCUUCCGCAAUGGGCGAAAGCCUGACGGAGCAACGCCGCGUGAGUGAUGAAGGUCUUCGGAUCGUAAAACUCUGUUAUUAGGGAAGAACAAAUGUGUAAGUAACUAUGCACGUCUUGACGGUACCUAAUCAGAAAGCCACGGCUAACUACGU